GCGUGGGGGUUGUACCAUAGAAAUUUGGAUUCCUCUCCUUAUCGUUCUGAAUUAUGAUUUCUCCGACGGGGCGGCGGUAAUGAGCUUCGUUCGCAUGCGAAUUUAGAUGGGUCAAUGCGCCUCUCGGCCAGUGUCGAGGGACAGCUGCGGGCGGUGGCAGCAUGGCGGGGUCGGCGGUUCCUCGGGCGGCCCAGGAAAGGGUGGGUGUUGGGCCAUGGUGAGGGAGCAGAAAUCCAGGUUCUACAUCGCGAGGAGGUGCAUCGUGAUGCUGCUCUGUUGGCACAAAUACGGCAAGUGCUGAAACCUCAUUCAUUUCGUCUCAUUUAUUUCUUGGCUUGGCUCCUUCCUCCUCUUCCUCCUCCUCCUCCUCCUGCUGAUCUCCCUGUUUCAUUUAUUCCUGUAAUUUAUGGCAAUGUAUCCACCAGUACCAGUGGAUCCCUGUUAGGGUUGUCCCCCAAAACGUUCAUCAUAUGGGAUCCUGAUCUCUCUCUCUCUCUCUACAGGUUGAAUAGAAGUAGAGAUUCCAGGUCAAAUUAAUUGUCGCUGGGUUGCAGGAUUUGAUUCCCAAGUGCUGAAACGAUGUUAUGCGCGCAAAUGUAGGGAUUGGUUUUGAUUCUGCAGUCGAGAUAUCUGAUGGGUUAUUUCUCCCCCCCCC
rnacentral:lncRNA from 1 species